rnacentral:misc_RNA from 1 species
CUCUUUGAAAUACUCAGAAAGCUAACAAACACUGGAUAAGUGACUAGAUAUGGAGGGAAAUUGGAAAAGAAGAUUUUGUAAGCUAGAGGUGAGAAGAAGGAUAAUCCUUCAAGAAAAAAGAGGGUUAUUUCCUCCUCGCUUUAAUGACUAAUCAUAUAGAAGGCAAACAAAUGAAUAAUUCUUAAUCAGAUUAUGCCUCCAAUAAAACAAGAAAGCCAAUAUAAAGAGAAUAUCCAUUGGAAGG